UACGUAGGGGGCAAGCGUUGUCCGGAAUCAUUGGGCGUAAAGAGCGCGUAGGCGGUCCGGUAAGUCGGUUGUGAAAACUGGGGGCUCAACCCUCAGAGGCCGACCGAUACUGUCGGGCUAGAGUCCGGAAGAGGCGAGUGGAAUUCCUGGUGUAGCGGUGAAAUGCGCAGAUAUCAGGAGGAACACCAAUGGCGAAGGCAGCUCGCUGGGACGUGACUGACGCUGAGACGCGAAAGCGUGGGGAGCAAACAGG
rnacentral:rRNA from 1 species